rnacentral:lncRNA from 1 species
GUGGUCCAACAAGCCCCCAAGUACAUUGCUGAACAACCUGAACUACUCUGGGUGAGUUCCCCAACCAAUAGUAGCAUCCACAGUCAGAUUAUGGUAUCAAAGUUGGGUGGCAUUCCUCCAUCCAUGCUUGUUCUUUUGUUUGCAGCCUGUGUUUGUGCUUGGGCCCAUGUUUGCACCCAUUCUUACACAUGCACCUUAUAGACUUUGUUCCUUGUAUGCCCAUGGUCAUGUGUUUUUCCUUCCAUUGGCAGAUUGACUGGUCUAAGCUUGUUAAGGACAUUGGGUGUUUUGGCCUUGCACACAACGCAGACAUGCUGACCAUGAUAUACUCUUUUUGAAUGUGAUGAGUCUACAUGUUCAGAACUAUGCAUGGUGGCUAACUUCAAUCUGAGUCCUUGUGACUUGUGUAUAUUUGGCUGAAGCCCCAAAAGUACAUGGACUCUUGAACUUGGCUUCUCUAGCUCUUCAAAUUUCACCAUCUAUCAACAUCUAUUCUGCAUGGUGUUGCCAAGAUAUGCAGCCCAAGAGGGGGGUGAAUUGGGUUUUAAAAAUCUUUUUGUCUAGAAUGCAGCGGAUAAAAUAUAAUUUCAAUUUGAAAGAUAUAAGUGCUUAAACGAUGAAUGAAUAAUGGCAGAGAUUAAAGUGCAACAGUAUAAAGAGACAGGCACACACAAACACAGAGAAUUUAUAGUGGUUCGGUGUAACCCACACCUACAUACACUCGCCAAGACGCUUGAGAAUUUCACUAUAAUCACCCUGAUUACAGUAUGGUUGUUUUUCGAGCUCCCAACCCAAUUCGUUGUUUUUCCGAGAUUAUAACAAACCCAGUCGGUUUUUCCAGGAUCACCAACUAUAAUCUUAACCCGUUUGUUUUCCGGGCUCACAAACAACCUAGUCGGUUUUCACAGGCUCACCAACCAAAAUCUUUACACGUUUUUUUUCGGGUUCAUAAACAAUCCAGUUGGUUUUCACAGACUCACCAACCAAAAUCUUUAAACCUUGUUGAAUUUCCUGAUUCAACAACUUCCAAUUAAGGUUUGGAAGAACCUUUAUCAGUUUUAGGGCAAAUAAAACUGUUAAUGCAGAGUUUAAAGAAUAUGUAAUAAAUGCUAUAAUGAUGUAAACAAAGCUUCAAUAUAAAUGAAAUAAUAAAUAUGGAUUAGAAGCUUUGAAGAUGGUUGUUGGCUGCAGUCGAAGAUCUUGAUAGCACAGCAGCAACUCCUCUGUUGAAUAUUUCAACUGAUUUCCUCACAAUACGGUUUUUCCUGGAAAGCUCUUUCGUGAGGAUUUUUUUUUCUUUUGAAGCUUGGAUUUUGGGUGUUUUGAUUUUCUCACUUGAUCCUCUCCUCCAUCUUCUUUUUCUCUUGGU